CAGCAGCCGCGGGAAUACAGAGGGUGCGAGCGUUAAUCGGAUUUACUGGGCGUAAAGCGUGCGUAGGCGGCUAAUUGAGUCGGAUGUGAAAUCCCCGAGCUUAACUUGAGAAUUGCAUUCGAUACUGGUUAGCUAGAGUGUGGGAGAGGAUGGUAGAAUUCCAGGUGUAGCGGUGAAAUGCGUAGAGAUCUGGAGGAAUACCGAUGGCGAAGGCAGCCAUCUGGCCUAACACUGACGCUGAGGUACGAAAGCAUGGGGAGCAAACAGGAUUAGAUACCCCCGUAGUCCCUGUCUCUUAUAA
rnacentral:rRNA from 1 species